rnacentral:rRNA from 1 species
UACGUAGGGGGCAAGCGUUGUCCGGAUUUAUUGGGCGUAAAGAGCGUGUAGGCGGCCUGUUAGGUCAGCUGUGAAAACUCGAGGCUCAACCUCGAGACGUCGGUUGAAACCAUCUGGCUAGAGUCCGGAAGAGGAGAGUGGAAUUCCCGGUGUAGCGGUGAAAUGCGCAGAUAUCAGGAAGAACACCCGUGGCGAAGGCGGCUCUCUGGGACGUUACUGACGCUGAGACGCGAAAGCGUGGGGAGCGAACAGG